UAUACCCCAUGUCUUUUUCAAAAAUUACACCUUCGUUCCGUCCCGUUCCGUCUGCAUACCAAACGCACCCAUAUAUGAAUGCACCUAAACCAUGGUACCUAUAUGAAUGCACCUAAAUCAUGGUACCUAUAUUAAUGCACCUAAAUCAUAGUACCUAUAUGAAUGCACCUUAAUCAUUUAGGUACUAUCAAUUAGGUCUUAUCCAUUCGGUAUGGUCGGUUAGGUACUAUAUAGUGUAUGUCUGAUUAAUUUGGUACGGUCAAUUAAGUUGUGAUUUCACAUUCUAUUUUCUCAAUUUGUAUUUUUUUUUCAUUUAUCUCUGGAUUCACCGUCAAUUUGGCAUCUAAAAGCCCAUUUUUCUUCUUUCUUCCGAAUACAACGAGAUUUUUGGUUUGUAAGUUUUAUGGCUUUUUUUGUUUGAUCAUGGUUUCUGAGUUUUCUAGGUUCUUUGAUUGGAAUAACACAUGGAGAUUUAUGUUAUAACAAACAUCUUAAUUAUGGAUCUAGUUAAUUAAGCAUUCUUGAAAAAUUAAUUAUAUAUUUGUUUCUCUAAUUGGUUUUAAGAGAGUAAUAAGGGUAAAUAGGGAAACUAAAAACGCAAUAAAUUUAUUAAAAAAUGAUUAAAUGUGACAUGGAAUACUUUAAUCUGACAUGGAGGACUAUUUUUAGUUUUUAAUCUUACAUAUGGUAUUAUUGAAAAAGUAAUCUUAGUUAUGGAUUAAAGUGAAGUUUUCUAUAAUUUAAUCUUAUCCUAUACACCCAAAUGUCUAUCUUCUCGUACGAGGUUUAUAACUCAAGUAUUUUCAACAUUAUUUUUAAGCUAUUGGAGUUAAAGCAUCUCCAGUUGAGUUCCUAAAUAAGGAUAAUCACGGUAUAAAAUUAGUAUAAAACAAAUAUAAGGAUAAAAUGAAUCUAUAACAGAUUAGAAGGUGAGUUCCUAAAAUAUAGGGACUUACCAGAUACAUAGUGUAUGUCCUCACAUACAGGGACUGUAUAAGGACAACCUUAAGUGAAAAACAGGGCCUACGAUCUUGAUUGAAGCUUUUAAUGUUUUUAAAUAUAAUGCUUUUAAUUAAUUAAAAUAAAGUUGACAGACAAAAAAAUGUGCACCUCAAGUGGAAAUAGGCCCGCAAUGUUGUGGCUUUUAGUGGAAACCUUACUGAGUAUGAUGGUCAAUUAUUAGCGGAUUGUUUGGGUGUGAAAAGGGUUCAAUAUCAUGACCGCUAUCUUGGUUUACCAGUCUUUGUGGGCAAAGCAAAGAAGGCAACGUUUUCUUAUCUAAAAGAUCGAUUGUGGAAG
rnacentral:lncRNA from 1 species